AACCCAUGGUGUGGGCAUUGGUUGGUGUAGCUCCUGAAUCUCUCAUAUGCUUCACCAAAACUCUCAUUCCUGUGUU
rnacentral:snoRNA from 1 species